rnacentral:tRNA from 1 species
AGGUUAAGUUUUUAUAAAUAUUAAAUUGCAAAUUUAAAGUUAAAUCUU